AUGGACUAGAAGGAGAGGAAUAGUGAGAGGAAGCUACACGCUUAAAAAAAAAAAAAAAAAUCUGGGUUCAGGAGCUACUGGAAUAAUAUUCCAACAACCUAAAGUAGGUCCGUGAGAGAAGGUUCAGCAGGGAAGGAGGAGUGGAGCGGGGUUGGAGAGGCCGCCUGCUCCCACCUUGCUGGAAGUCGGGUGGCCUGAACACGGAGCAGACUAACCAUCGUAUUGAAUCCUAUCAGGUAAGUGGCUUCUGUUUUAUGUAGAUAUUUUUGAAUUUUUUG
rnacentral:lncRNA from 1 species